GACGUAGGGCGCGAGCGUUGUCCGGAUUUAUUGGGCGUAAAGAGCUCGUAGGCGGCUUGUUGCGUCGACCGUGAAAACCCGCGGCUUAACCGUGGGCUUGCGGUCGAUACGGGCGGGCUGGAGUUCGGUAGGGGAGACUGGAAUUCCUGGUGUAGCGGUGAAAUGCGCAGAUAUCAGGAGGAACACCGGUGGCGAAGGCGGGUCUCUGGGCCGAUACUGACGCUGAGGAGCAAAAGCGUGGGGAGCGAACAGG
rnacentral:rRNA from 1 species